AAGAAUCAGGAAAAAGUGGGCCGCUAACUUGCUUUAAGUUUUUAAAUUAAACUACUGAUUU
rnacentral:tRNA from 1 species